AAAAAACAAGCAAGGCUUCAAAACAUGCAAGAAGAAAAAUAAGAACACAUAUCAAUAAAUAAGAACACAUAUCGAUUAAGUGUUGAAAAGAAAAUGAAUUGUUGAGUAUUUCUUAAGUAAUGAUCUUGUAUUACAGAAUAGGAAAGUGAUAUAUUUAAUACGAAAACGCCAGAGGUGAGUAUAAUUGUGCGGAUUUUUUUUUAAAUUUACAAAUUAUUAUAUUAAUGAUUAAUUAGUUAUUUUCAGUAUAUAGGUCGUGUUCAAUGCAAAUUCUGUUUAUGUAUUGUGAUAAUUGAUUUAUCACAUAUUUAUUGAAAUUUCUGACAGACCAGUCAAAAAUCACAUAACCUCAAUUCAGUGAUAUGAUAUGAAUAUUAUAGAGAAAGACUGCUCAUAACCCUUAUGGGUUAUGUCAAAAUGGAUUUCAAACUAGGGAAAUUUGCUCUAAUCAAGAAGAUAAAUUGUCAUCAAAGAAACAAGCAAGACUUAAAAGCAUGCGAGAAGGAAAACAAAGAAUACACCGGAUAUCACACAUUAUAUGGAUUAAGUGUUGAAGAGAACAUGAAUUGUUGAGUAUUUCGAGUCUGAUGAUCUUGUGUUACAGAAUUGGUAUAUUAAGAAAAUUCACGUCUUAAAAAUUAAGAGGAUAAAAUCAAUGCAAGAAAAUUAUUAAGUGUGUUCAUCGAAUAAUUAUCUCUGUCAUAUGAUUGUAAGUACUACAUAGUCAUCAACUUCAAAUAAGGAGUAUGUUUAGAGAUACAUUAACAGAUGCAAGUGAGUUGAGCAUAUUUAACGCAAGACUUAACUUUGCCAAGUCUGAUUUAACUGAAGUUGCCAAGAGAGUUAAACAUAAUACAUAUUAUGAAUAAAUAAAUAUUUAU